rnacentral:sRNA from 1 species
CCAUACCCCAGAUUGUAGCGGAAAGCAUUUUUCCCAUCAAUCUUAUUUUUUCUUGAUGAAAAAGAGCGACCAAAGGAAGCUCCUUUUUUGUCUUAGAAAAAAGAGAUUGAUGGGGAAAAUCUUGAAGUGGAAAGCUGGAAUAGGU